rnacentral:rRNA from 1 species
GGGUGAGUAACACGUGGGCAAUCUGCCCUGCACUCUGGGACAAGCCCUGGAAACGGGGUCUAAUACCGGAUAUGACUGUCCAUCGCAUGCUGGAUGGUGUAAAGCUCCGGCGGUGCAGGAUGAGCCCGCGGCCUUUCAGCUUGUUGGGGAGGUAGUGGCUCACCAAGGCGACAACGGGUAGCCGGCCUGAGAGGGCAACCGGCCACACUGGGACUGAAACACGGCCCAAACUCCUACGGGAGGCAGCAGUGGGGAAUAUUGCACAAUGGGCGAAAGCCUGAUGCAGCGACGCCGCGUGAGGGAUGACGGCCUUCGGGUUGUAAACCUCUUUCAGCAGGGAAGAAGCGAAAGUGACGGUACCUGCAGAAGAAGCGCCGGCU